rnacentral:rRNA from 1 species
UACAGAGGUCCCAAGCGUUGUUCGGAUUCACUGGGCGUAAAGGGUGCGUAGGUGGUCGGGUAAGUCUGAUGUGAAAUCUCGGAGCUCAACUCCGAAACUGCAUUGGAUACUAUCCGGCUGGAGGAGUGGAGGGGGGACUGGAAUUCUCGGUGUAGCAGUGAAAUGCGUAGAUAUCGAGAGGAACACCAGUGGCGAAGGCGAGUCCCUGGACACUUCCUGACACUGAGGCACGAAAGCUAGGGGAGCAAACAGG